rnacentral:rRNA from 1 species
CCUACGGGGGGCAGCAGUGAGGAAUAUUGGUCAAUGGUCGGGAGACUGAACCAGCCAAGCCGCGUGAGGGAUGAAGGUACAGAGUAUCGUAAACCUCUUUUGUCAGGGAACAAAGGCGGGGACGUGUCCCCGGAUGAGUGUACCUGAAGAAAAAGCAUCGGCUAACUCCGUGCCAGCAGCCGCGGUAAUACGGAGGAUGCGAGCGUUAUCCGGUUUUAUUGGGUUUAAAGGGUGCGCAGGCGGUCUGUUAAGUCAGCGGUAAAAGCCCGGGGCUCAACCCCGGCCCGCCGUUGAAACUGGCAGUCUCGAGUUGGAGAGAAGGAUGCGGAAUGCGCGGUGUAGCGGUGAAAUGCAUAGAUAUCGCGCAGAACUCCGAUUGCGAAGGCAGCAUGCCGGCUCCACACUGACGCUGAGGCACGAAAGCGUGGGUAUCGAACAGGAAUAGAUACCCUAGUAGUC